rnacentral:rRNA from 1 species
GACGAACGCUGGCGGCGCGCUUAACACAUGCAAGUCGAGCGAAGCGGCGGACGGGUGAGUAACCCGUGAGUAACCUGCCUUAGACAUUAGGAUAGCCUCGGGAACCCGGGAUUAAUACCAAAUGGUCUAAGAUGGACUAGAGUCCCAUUAGUUAGUUGGUGAGGUAACGGCCCACCAAGGCGACGAUGGGUAGCCGGCCUGGGAGGGUGGACGGCCACAUUGGAGCUGGGCAACGGUACAGACUCUCCGCGAGGCAGGAGAGGGGAAUAUUGCACAAUGGAGGGAGCUCUGAUGCAGCGACGCCGCGUAAACGAAGAAGGCUUUCGAGACGUAAAGUUCUUUUAAAUGGGAAGCGGUACCAUAAGAGAAAGCCCCGGCUAACUACGUGCCAGCAGCCGCGGUAAUAC